rnacentral:rRNA from 1 species
UGGGGAAUAUUGGACAAUGGGCGCAAGCCUGAUCCAGCCAUGCCGCGUGAGUGAUGAAGGCCCUAGGGUUGUAAAGCUCUUUUGUGCGGGAAGAUAAUGACGGUACCGCAAGAAUAAGCCCCGGCUAACUUCGUGCCAGCAGCCGCGGUAAUACGAAGGGGGCUAGCGUUGCUCGGAAUCACUGGGCGUAAAGGGUGCGUAGGCGGGUCUUUAAGUCAGGGGUGAAAUCCUGGAGCUCAACUCCAGAACUGCCUUUGAUACUGAAGAUCUUGAGUUCGGGAGAGGUGAGUGGAACUGCGAGUGUAGAGGUGAAAUUCGUAGAUAUUCGCAAGAACACCAGUGGCGAAGGCGGCUCACUGGCCCGAUACUGACGCUGAGGCACGAAAGCGUGGGGAGCAAACAGGAUUAGAUACCCCCGUAGUCCCUGAGCGGGCUGGCAAGGCGCAU